UCGUCCGGCUGGCGCGGGACCUGCUGCCCUCCACCUACGGCGUGGAGGCGUACGCCGGUACGUUCGGGGCGCACCCGGACUGG
rnacentral:tRNA from 1 species